rnacentral:rRNA from 1 species
AUUGAACGCUGGCGGAAUGCUUUACACAUGCAAGUCGAGCGGCAGCGCGGGGCAACCUGGCGGCGAGCGGCGAACGGGUGAGUAAUGUAUCGGAACGUACCCAGUCGUGGGGGAUAACUAUCCGAAAGGAUAGCUAAUACCGCAUACGUCCUGAGGGAGAAAGCGGGGGAUCGCAAGACCUCGCGCGAUUGGAGCGGCCGAUAUCGGAUUAGCUAGUUGGUGAGGUAAAGGCUCACCAAGGCGACGAUCCGUAGCUGGUCUGAGAGGACGACCAGCCACACUGGAACUGAGACACGGUCCAGACUCCUACGGGAGGCAGCAGUGGGGAAUUUUGGACAAUGGGGGCAACCCUGAUCCAGCCAUUCCGCGUGAGUGAAGAAGGCCUCGGUUGUAAG